rnacentral:rRNA from 1 species
CCUACGGGAGGCAGCAGUGGGGGAUAUUGGACAAUGGCGGAAACCCUGAUCCAGCGACGCCGCGUGAGUGAAGAAGUAUUUCGGUAUGUAAAGCUCUAUCAGCAGGGAAGAAAGAAAUGACGGUACCUGAGUAAGAAGCCCCGGCUAACUACGUGCCAGCAGCCGCGGUAAUACGUAGGGGGCAAGCGUUAUCCGGAAUUACUGGGGGUAAAGGGUGCGUAGGAGGUAAUGCAAGUCUGGAGUGAAAGGCGGGGGCCAAACCCCCGGACUGCUCUGGAAACUGUGUAACGUGAGUGCAGGAGAGGCAGGCGGAAUUCCGAGUGUAGCGGUGAAAUGCGUAGAUAUUAGCAGGAACACCAGUGGCGAAGGCGGCCUGCUGGACUGUAACUGACGUUGAGGCACGAAAGCGUGGGGAGCAAACAGGAUUAGAUACCCUGGUAGUC